GGAAGAUGAAGAGAAGUUUCAAGAGAAAUGAUCUUUGUCUUGGUUCAACAAUGAUUACAAGGUUGGUUUAGUAGCACCCAACCUGGAGUAUCAACACAUGUGGCAAGACGAAAGGAUUCAAACUGAAUUGCAAGAUUAUAUCUCACCUUCGUCAUCACUGCUGUCUGACUGAGGCUGUCUGAUCCUCCUUCUCCGUU